rnacentral:tRNA from 2 species
GGACCUGUGGAGCAGCCAGGAGUGCUCACCUCCCUGUCAAGGAGGAGGUCGCGGGUUCAAAUCCCGUCAGGUCCG